GGGGCGGGGUGUCAGGGGGGGGGGAAGAGAAGGGGGUACAGAGCCUGGGGGAUCCCCGCCGGGAGGCAGGAUGGCAGGACCCAGGGCUGGGGGGCA